rnacentral:tRNA from 2 species
GGUGAGGUGGUCGAGUGGUUAGGCAGCGGCCUGCAAAGCCGUGUACGCGGGUUCAAAUCCCGUCCUCACCU